rnacentral:ncRNA from 1 species
UCCGGUGCGAACCCGGAACUGACGCGCAACCGUAUCCGGCCCAUGGGCCGGGAGUCGGA